UUUUUGCAGGUCUGCCUGUCAGUUGGGGAUGGAGGUCGACAUAUAUAGUAGUCUCCGUAGCAACAAGUAGUAAUGUUAUUCCUUUACCCUACUUGGUCAUAGCACGGUAGUGGGAGCUGCCAGCUUCACAUGUUUUAACUCUGUCAGAGCACUUUGAAAAAGUGAUCUGUGGUAUCUGGAAAGCGGAUGUUGCGUGUGAAGAUUACAGACAGCUUUAUCCAAGGAGAUCCGGCUCUUGAAGUUGGGAAAGUGUUGCCUCUUCGGUUUUCGAACAAGCAAUCCUAUCGGGGAUCUGACUCUCGAGAUUCGAAGAACGAUGCCUCUUCGAUUUUUGAGAAAGCAAUCAUGCUGGGGGUCUGGCUCUCGAGAUUCGGAGAGCGGUGUCUCUUUGAUUUUUGAGAAAGUAAUCAUGUUGGGAGUCUGGCUCUCAAGAUUCGGAGGGUGGUGCCUCUUCGAUUUUGG
rnacentral:lncRNA from 1 species